GACGAACGCUGGCGGCGUGCUUAACACAUGCAAGUCGAACGGAAAGGCCCUGCUUUUGUGGGGUGCUCGAGUGGCGAACGGGUGAGUAACACGUGAGUAACCUGCCCUUGACUUUGGGAUAACUUCAGGAAACUGGGGCUAAUACCGGAUAGGAGCUCCUGCUGCAUGGUGGGGGUUGGAAAGUUUCGGCGGUUGGGGAUGGACUCGCGGCUUAUCAGCUUGUUGGUGGGGUAGUGGCUUACCAAGGCUUUGACGGGUAGCCGGCCGGAGAGGGUGACCGGCCACAUUGGGACUGAGAUACGGCCCAGACUCCAACGGGAGGCAGCAGUGGGGAAUAUUGCACAAUGGGCGGGGGCCUGAUGCAGCAACGCCGCGUGCGGGAUGACGGCCUUCGGGUUGUAAACCGCUUUCGCCUGUGACGAAGCGUGAGUGACGGUAAUGGGUAAAGAAGCACCGGCUAACUACGUG
rnacentral:rRNA from 1 species